UACGAAGGGGGCUAGCGUUGCUCGGAAUCACUGGGCGUAAAGCGCACGUAGGCGGAUCUUUAAGUCAGGGGGUGAAAUCCUGGAGCUCAACUCCAGAACUGCCUUUGAUACUGGGGAUCUCGAGUCCGGAAGAGGUGAGUGGAACUCCGAGUGUAGAGGUGAAAUUCGUAGAUAUUGGGAAGAACACCGAUGGCGAAGGCAGCCAUCUGGACCGACACUGACGCUGAGGCGCGAAAGCGUGGGGAG
rnacentral:rRNA from 1 species